rnacentral:lncRNA from 1 species
CGAGGCACUCGACUCCCCAAAGAUCGUCAGAAGUGUGUUACGCUGCGAUGAGCAUCAGAUGAAACUAAGAAAAAUAUUUUGUGCUCUCGUUUUAGCCAUUAUAACUCCUGGAAGGACAUUUCUCCUCUUUCCUGCCAAACUGUUGCAGCUCAUCUCUGGUAGGAUAGUUGGAUGCCUGAGUAUCGAACAACAGAAAACUAUGGAGAAGGACCACUCGUUGGAGAGAGGACAUAGUCGAGAG